AUUGAACGCUGGCGGCAGGCCUAACACAUGCAAGUCGAACGAGUGGCGGACGGGUGAGUAAUGUCUGUGACACUGCCUGAUGGAGGGGGAUAACUACUGGAAACGGUAGCUAAUACCGCAUACCAUCGGAUGUGCCCAGAGGGGAUUAGCUAGUCGGUGGGGUAAAGGCUCACCUAGGCGACGCUCCCGAGCUGGUCUGCGAGGAUGACCAGCAACACUGGAACUAAGACACGUUCCAGACGCCUACGGGAGGCAGCAGUGGGGAAUAUUGCACAAUGGGCGCAAGCCUGAUGCAGCCAUGCCGCGUGUAUGAAGAAGGCCUUCGGGUUGUAAAGUACGUUCAGCGGGGAGGCGGUACCCGCAGAAGAAGCACCGGCUAACUCCGUGCCAGCAGCCGCGGUAAUAC
rnacentral:rRNA from 1 species